UUUAGAGCUAAUACAUGCAACAAAUCGGUAUGGCCUUGCUGUAUCGAUCGCAUUUAUUAUGUCAAACCAACCGCAUGAGAGAUUGUGCGUGGUGAAUCUAGAUAACUGUGCUGAUCGCAUGGCCUUGAGCCGGCGACGUUUCGAUUGAGUUUCUGCCCUAUCACCUUGAUGCUAGUGUAUUGUACUAGCAUGGGAGUAACGGGUAACGGAGGAUCAGGGUUCGAUCCCGGAGAGGGAGCCUGAGAAACGGCUACCACAUCCAAGGAAGGCAGCAGGCGCGCAAAUUACCCAAUCCAGACAAUGGGAGGUGGUGACGAAGAGUACCGGAUGACUGAUUAUUAUCAGUCAGUCUGGAAUGAAUACAAUUUAAGCAAUUGAGUUGAGAAACAACUGGAGGGCAAGUCUGGUGCCAGCAGCCGCGGUAAUUCCAGCUCCAGUAGCGUGUCUCAAAGUUGCUGCGCUUAAAACGCUCGUAGUUGGAUGAGAAACUAUACAUUGGAAAGUUAUUUGUUGGAUACUUGGUUAUAUGUAGCUACUUUGGUGCCUCUGGCGUCGGGUAGUUUCUAUAGUCAACCAUCAGUAACAUACAACCGGUGUGUAGUAAUUGCGUGUGAGGAUGAUCAUUGACCUUCAGUGUGUUGAAGAUCGUGUCUCACGGGAUGUGCCUUGAGUAAAUCAGAGUGCUCAAAGCAGGCUAUUGCCUGAAUGUUUUAGCAUGGAACGAACAAUAAUGUAGACGCGUAUUGAAACUAGUAGUUGUUUCUAUCAUCCGAUAGUUCAACUACUUCAGUACGUAACAUCUACCGCCAAUUACGGAUGUUGGUUCCGUAUUGGGGUACUGAUUAAGAGGAGCGGUUGGGGGCAUUGGUAUUUGGCAGCGAGAGGUGAAAUU
rnacentral:rRNA from 1 species